rnacentral:rRNA from 1 species
AGGCAGCAGUGGGGAAUAUUGCACAAUGGGGGAAACCCUGAUGCAGCCAUGCCGCGUGUGUGAAGAAGGCCUCGGGUUGUAAAGCACUUUCAGUAGGGAGGAAGGUAGUGUAGUUAACACCUGCAUUAUUUGACGUUACCUACAGAAGAAGCACCGGCUAACUCCGUGCCAGCAGCCGCGGUAAUACGGAGGGGUGCGAGCGUUAAUCGGAAUUACUGGGCGUAAAGCGCAUGCAGGCGGCCUGUUAAGUCAGAUGUGAAAGCCCGGGGCUUAACCUCGGAAUUGCAUUUGAAACUGGCAGGCUAGAGUCUUGUAGAGGGGGGGUAGGAAUUUCAGGUGUAGCGGUGAAAUGCGUAGAGAUCUGAAGGAAUACCAGUGGCGAAGGCGGCCCCCCUGGACAAAGACUGACGCUCAGAUGCGAAAGCGUGGGGGAGCAAACAGGAUUAGAUACCCCUGGUAG